rnacentral:rRNA from 1 species
UCGAUCCGGUUCUGGUUUUAGAGUAUGAUCAGUCCCACUGAAACUGAUCCUGGUCCAACAUCUCACUCUGAAGGCAGCAGUGGGGAAUAUUGGACAAUGGGCGAAAGCCUGAUCCAGCCAUGCCGCGUGUGUGAAGAAGGUCUUCGGAUUGUAAAGCACUUUAAGUUGGGAGGAAGGGCAGUAAGUUAAUACCUUGCUGUUUUGACGUUACCAACAGAAUAAGCACCGGCUAACUUCGUGCCAGCAGCCGCGGUAAUACGAAGGGUGCAAGCGUUAAUCGGAAUUACUGGGCGUAAAGCGCGCGUAGGUGGUUCAGCAAGUUGGAUGUGAAAUCCCCGGGCUCAACCUGGGAACUGCAUCCAAAACUACUGAGCUAGAGUACGGUAGAGGGUGGUGGAAUUUCCUGUGUAGCGGUGAAAUGCGUAGAUAUAGGAAGGAACACCAGUGGCGAAGGCGACCACCUGGACUGAUACUGACACUGAGGUGCGAAAGCGUGGGGGAGCAAACAGGAUUAGAUACCCUGGUAGUCCACGCCGUAAACGAUGUCGACUAGCCGUUUGGGAUCCCUUGAGAUCUUAAUGGCGCACCUAACGCCGAUAACUCGACCGCCUGGGGAGUACGGCCGCACGGUAAGACUCAAAUGAAUUGACGGGGGCCCGCACAGCCGAGGAGCAUGUGGUUUAUUUUAAGUAACUCGCAGAACCUACCUGGCCUUAUAUGGAG